rnacentral:lncRNA from 1 species
GUUCCUCUGCCCUGCUGCACAGAGAAGCCAUAUGGAGAGAAUUUAGUCUAGCCAUCCCUGGCCAUUCCAGCCAUCCCAGCUGGAGCCUCAUACGUGUGAGUGAAACUAGCUGAGCCCUUCCAGUCCAGGACCUAAUAGAAGCUCCAGACCCAUAGGAGGCACAUCAGAAAAUAUAAAAAAUAAAAAAUACUCAUUCAGUUGGAUUAUAAUGUCCCUGAAGCCUGUGGACCCAUGCAAGCCAACUGUGAGAAGGCUUAAGGAGCAGGCUCCACACCCAGCAUGGAGCCCAACACAGCGCUUGAACUCACAACCCUGUGAUUAAAACCUGAGCUGAGAUCAAGAGUUGGAUGCUUAACCAACGGAACCACCCCAAAUUUCAACUUUUCAUACUAAUUGUGAAUGAGACACUUCAUUCCAUUCUGUUUCUGAGAGAGAAUCGUUAUCCUAAAGUAAAUAAUUGACCUUACUUUUAUAUUAAAUUUGUGAUUACUUUAAUGAAUUCUUUUGUCUUGACAUAAUUUUUAUUUGAAUUGUUCAUAUUUUUAGGGUUUAUAAUUAUAUCAAUUACAAAUAAUUAUAAGUUUAUUUCCUUCUUGC